GACGUCGAAUAUCAACGUCAUAAACACCAAAGUUGAUCGCGUUUAUGAAGUCGAAUAUCGACGUUAUAAACACCAAAGUUGAUCGUGUUUAUGUAUCGACGUGAUAAACACCUAAGUUGAUCGUGUUUAUGACGUCGUAUAUCCGUCAUAAACACCUAAGUUGAUCGUGUUUAUGACGUCGAAUAUCGACGUCAUAAACACCUAAAUUGAUCGUGUUUCUGACGUCGAAUAUCGACGUCAUAAACACCAAAAUUGAUCGUGUUUAUGACGUCGAAUAUCGACGUC
rnacentral:miRNA from 1 species